AGCAGAGCUUGUUCUUGGUUGCUUUUGACACUCCCUCAGAGAACCUCUCCGGAUUGAACUCUUUGGCAUCAUCGCCCCAAUUAGCUGGAUCAUGGUGGAUUAGGAUCAUGGGCACAAGAAGCACAGUUCCUGGAGAAACUAACUUGAGUGACUAUCCCCCAAAUACUCCUUUUUUUUUUGUUUGGGGGAAGGCGUAGGGAAGAACAGCAACGGGAUUUCCGGUCAAGAAUUUAUGUCAUGGGAUGGGAUAAACAGCGGACUACUAUAUGACUAGAAUCCUUACAGUGUUUAGUCGGCUCAACCCAUCAAAAUCAGGAAAAAAUUGCAGCGAGCCGCAUAUACUACCUUGCAAUCACAAUUCAACCACAAUCCAUCUUUUGCAAAAUCAUAAGAAAAUUGUCUUGAGAAACUUUUCAAGUUCCUUGUGUGGCCAGAUGCUUAAAGAUCAGCACGUGGUUUGCAAAGUCAUGAGACGAUUGUGGAAAGUUGCAACAGACUCCAUGGAUAAGAAUUGAGGAAGUGAAACUGAAGUUUGUCACUCUUUUUUCCGUCAUAUGCUUUUGAAACAGUUAAAGAUCUUGGGACAUAUUAUUGCUAAAUCAAUCUCGACUUACCUCCACCCGGGAAUAAACGUGAACUGAACAAUCUUGGUCAUGAGGCUAAUUUGUUCUUGUUGAAGUGGGAGGAUGCUCUUGACAUGG